CCUACGGGUGGCAGCAGUGGGGAAUAUUGCGCAAUGGGCGAAAGCCUGACGCAGCGACGCCGCGUGAGGGAUGAAGGUCUUCGGAUCGUAAACCUCUGUCAGCAGGGAAGAACGGUCACUGUGCUAAUCAGCAGUGAAUUGACGGUACCUGCAAAGGAAGCACCGGCUAACUCCGUGCCAGCAGCCGCGGUAAAACGGAGGGUGCGAGCGUUAAUCGGAGUUACUGGGGGUAAAGCGCUCGUAGGCGGUAUGUCAAGUCAAGGGGGAAAUCCACGCGCUCAACGUGGGAACUGCCUUUGAAACUGGCAAACUGGAGUGUGUGAGAGGAUAGUGGAAUUCCAGGUGUAGGAGUGAAAUCCGUAGAUAUCUGGAGGAACAUCAGUGGCGAAGGCGACUAUCUGGCACAUAACUGACGCUGAGGAGCGAAAGCGUGGGUAGCAAACAGGAUUAGAUACCCCAGUAGUC
rnacentral:rRNA from 1 species